AGCCCAGGAGAUAGCGUGAGACUCCAUCUCAAAAAAAAGAAGUUUGUUUUUAGCUUAAAAUUUUCAUUCUGUCUUCUGAAAAACAUAGAAAGUCAGUUUGGAGGCAGUAGUGCCUUGUCAAGAAUGUAGACUCUGGAAAGAGAUUCUUUAGAUUUGUAUCCCUCUACCUGUAAACUGUAUGACCUUGGACAAGUCACUAAAACUUUCCAAGCAUCAAUUUCAUCUUCAUCUGAGCAAGGUAGAAAUAGUAGUAUCUUGUUCAAAGGGACUAAGGGGAGAUUGAGACAUUAUGCAUGUGAAGAAUACUGUACACAUUUGUUCUGGUUUCCAGGGAUAUAUUAACAUAAUUUUAAAACAGAAUUUCAAAGAAAGGGGGUAGAGUUGCUGAGUUCUAGAGCAGGAGAAGCCUUGGGUGAGAGGGGGAGCUCAGUUCAGACACACAACUUCAUUCUGGAAAUCCUCACAUGGCUCAUAGGCCAAUUUGCUUAUGUGUGUGUCUAGAUUUGCGUUAUUUGUGCUAGGAAGUAUAUUUUGGGGUUCUGAUUCAUC